CUGUUUUCACCGUACCCAGUGUGAAGCUGCAGCCUGAGAUAGGUGACAGUUCAAAGGUUUAUGGAAGAAGCAGCAAUCAUGGCAAAAGUUUUUUGAACCACAAACACUGAGGGAUUAUUGUCCUCACCUGCAUUACAAAGGUUAACUCCAUUGCCUGUUCCAAAGAAGCAGAAGAAGAGCAAAGGAAUUCAAGAACCUAUUCUCCUAUUGUUAUGGUCAUGUUAGCAAAUGGCUGCUGUUUUUGCUACAAUUCUUUACAUUAGCAUUGUGUGGGAUUAUGUGUGCUUGUACUCUGAAUUUGACAUAUUGAAUGCUAAACCACGGCAUGCAAGAACCACCUUUUUUUUUAAAAAGUAGUUUGUUUAGAGAUCCACUUUGCUGAUAAAUGAUCCAUGCUGCUUUACAGGCUCUUGUCUGUCAGUCUUUUGAUUUUCUAUACUAGCGUAGCAUUUUUGUAAAGCUCAUUCAGAUUUCACUGUUAACGCUAAAAUUCUGAAGAUUUUUUUUGAAACUUUUGUGGGCAUGCCAGGAAGUCCUCUGAUGUCAGGAUUACAAAGCAAUCAACAGUGGCAUGAAAGACACUGCAUAUGUUUUACAAAAAUCAGCAUACUUUUGUAUACAGUUGAAAUGAAAUAGCUAGUGAACCACUGUGAACAUUUCUGACAGUGCUCCAGCUGGGAUCUUGCAAGGAACAUAGAUAAAUCCACAGCUGAUGGGGUGAGCUGCAGUGUUUAAAAUGGUUUGUACUAUCAUGAUGAUCAUCUGCUUAGUUUUUUAGAAGAAUACAAAAACCAUGUAUUUAAUGGAAUCUCGUUAGUUCCUCUGAGGUCUGGGGUUAGAUUUAAACCCAAUUCUUUGUCACUUCAGAUCCUGGAAAAGCAUUAUUGCUGUGUGUCUGUUCAGGUUAAAUGUUCUGUGAUGGAGUGACUCAUUUGAAAAAUAUAUCUAAAAUGUGUGAGGUUUGUAACAGUGUACUGAACAGGAACCAAUGGGUUCUUCAAAUACUGUUUUUGUCCUUUUCACUUUGUGGCCUCAGACCAUCUAUUUUGCCCAGUAUUGGUAACAACACUGACCAAAUUCUAAUGUAAAGUCAAAUGUGUAACACACAAAAAAAUUUACACUUGGUAAUACUGAUUAAAUGCUGCAAUAAAAUUUCUGCUUAUUUCAGUUCAUAAUGAAAUUGUAAACACAUUGCAUAUACACUCAUGAUCUCACUAUAACUAUCAAUAGAUAUCUUCAGCUACAAGUGUUUUAAUGUCCUAAUUCUUAUUUACAGCAUUUCAUGUCUCUGCCUACUGUUCCAAACUUUUUUUUGCCAUUUCACAGGCUAUUGGUCGCUAUUUUCUUUCUUAAAAUCUAAGGGAUUAUGUUCUGGAGUUGAGCUUAAAUAUAUUUAAUUCUGCAACAUAAUAACAGUUGCAUUUUAUUUCAUUUUAAGCCAUCUGACAAAAUCUUCUUUUCUUAUGUCCAGCCAAGAAAAGAAAAAAUGCUAACAUUCUGAAUAUUCAUUUAUUGCAACAACAUAAUUGGAGUCUGUAGAAUAAGUAUUGUAUAAAUUGUACGUUAAACACGCACAAGCCUAUAGUGGUUCAUUGCUUACCAGCCAUGAAAAAUAUGAUGGAGUGUGAACUAUUCCAAAUUAUGCUAUUAAAAAUUCUUUUGAUUAUUUUAUCCAGAAAUGUGUAGUAGUAAAUGGGACAGUAGUUAAAAGAUUCAGAAUGAAGAGAGAUGGACAUAAUUUUGUUUCUUUUUCCAUUAUAAUUGAACAAAACAAAUGAGGGAACUUUUCAGAUUUUCCAAUUAAUAUCUAGUUCCACACCAAAGAAGUCUUAUUUUUUAUUUUAUAAUUCUUUUAUAUCCCAGUCAAACUUCCUCUUUCCAUGAUCUUUUUCACAUAAAAUUGCAGUCUGUCUACUUAAUACUGACCUUUUCUUCUUGGGAGACCCCAAAUGUGAAAAGAACAUACAUAUUUGCAUUCAAUGUUAUGAAUGAUAGCUUUCAAAAUUGUAAAUGUCAUUAAGGACUGGUAUUUAUGUUAAGACAGAACAGUUAGCUUAAUUUGCUUAUAUAUCUGUGAGAAAUUAAAAGAUGUCACAGAAAUUUAAAUUUAGAUUCAAUCCUUCCUGACAAAGAAAAGUUAUAGUGGGAGUUAAAGUAAAAAUCUACUUUGCAGUUUUUACAUUGUGUAAUGUGAUGAAUGACGUCAAUUUGUAAUGUUUUACUUCACCUUCCCAAAUGUCACUCAGCAUCAGCAGUUUCAUGUGCAUAACUUCCACUCUGACGAUCCCUUUGAUUGCAAGUUCAUUUUGGUUGCAUCAAUUUCUAACAGUUAUUUGAAUGAACAAAUCUCGGAGCACAUUUUACUGACGCAACAUACUAUUAGUUACAUAUGAAGGUCUUGAAAAAUUAGUGUAUAAAUGUUUUUAAAAUAAAGUUAAAAGGCAAAAAUGUUUGAGAGUAUCUUUUGAAGGUUUUUUUAAAUCGUCUGUUAAUAUAGAUAUGUCUUUUCAAGGUCAUUAUCAAUGGUAGAUUACGCAUUUACCAUACUUGUUUGUAAUUUGAUCCCUAUACAAUGUGUAUGAGAUAUUAUGUUAAUUUCAUGAAUACAUUUUCUGUAAGUAUUAAAAUCAACUGAAAAAAACAAGCAAAUUGACCUGUACUGUAGCAUAGUUACUUUGUAACAGUGGUUAUGAUAUUUGAUUGAAGUGUGCUCUUUUUAUUUAUCAAUCUGAUUUUUCUAUAAAAUAGUUUGCACUGUGUUUUGCUGACUUUACAAUCACUGAAAUAUACAGCUUAGAAUUUUAAAGGAAUUUAAUGGUGCACUGAGUACUUCAAUUAUGUUGGUACUUGCACAAGAAAGCAAACUCUAGGAGUUAGAAACUUUGGAAAUAUAUUAUGAAGUGAACACGUUUAUUAACUAUCUUUGUAAAUAUUAUUUUACAUGCUUUCACAGUGAUACUAUGUUGGGCAUACAAUAUUAUUUUUGAAUUUUUAUGUGACAUCCACAGAUGUUAAUGAGCUUUAUUUGAUAAAUAAUUCUCAGUCGACUAAACUUUGGUAAAUAGCAAGAAUGGAGAAAAAUUUAAGCAGUCACUGUGCAGCUUGUGUGAUAAUCAGUCCAGUUAAUCUGUUCGCUUCACGUGUCUGCAUCAUGGAAUGUGCAGUCUCAUAUAUUAAACUGCUAAAAUGUCCUGUGAAUAUUUAUUUUUUGUAACUUUUUGAAGAAAUAUGUUCACUGUCAAGUCUUUACAAAAGAGGUGAGAAAAAGAUUAAACUGUUCCUCUCAAGUCUAAUGAUAGCUCAGUGAUUGAGAUAACCCAGUAUGCAAGGUAUCUCAGUUUUGAACGUCUCCCCAUAGUCAUUUAUAUUAAGAUCUUUGUAUAUUUAUGCUGUACUGUCUUGUAAAUUCCUUGAGCACAGAGGUGAAGGCAAGUAUCCCAAAUAUGCAUCUGUGAUGUGUUGUUCAAAGAAACUGCACAAGUACGCUUCAAUGACUUUUUUUUUGUGUGACGUAUCUCUUCAAUCCAUCUCCUUGACAUGCUGUAGUUUGGUACAGAGACAAAAAUAUUCAUGAAAUACAAACAAAUGGCCAACGUUAAGAAAACCUAGAAUGUAGUAACAGUAUAUAUGUUGCAUUGUUUGUUACAAAUUAUAUGUAAUGUACUAUUACAGAUGUAUUAAUGGUAUGUCCUUCUGUAACUGUUGGUUUCUUGGUACAUGAAAAUAAAAUAUGUCUGUAUUUUAAAUGAG